CAAAAAGUGUAUAUCCUACCAGUCUGCUAUGGCCCCUCCUCUUCCGAUAUGGGUGUAUACAGGAUGGUGCAUUAGACUUAAUGAUAUCUUAAACAACCCAGAAUUUGAAGGAGUGAAUAAUUACAGCAGAUCAAGACUGAAUUACCCACACUGACAGCUUCAAGCGAUGGCUCCCUGAAUUUCUUUGUUCCUGCUAAUGGAUUUGAGAAAUACAAUAUCCCAGCAGCUGCAACUGGCUAGAGAAACCUCCCUGAUGUCUCUACAAUGUCAAAAUAAUUUAUCAACUAACCAAACAGGAGGAGGCAGCUGUUGCUUUCAAGGGUAGGAUGAGGCCAUGAGAGUCAGACAAAAGAAAGGCAAAGAGGAAAGGAUUUAAUAGGAGACCACACUCUAGGAAGAGAGUGUUAUUGUGACAGAGGAACAAAUAUUGUCUUAAACCCCUAAUCUAGUUUAC